rnacentral:rRNA from 1 species
AGCGAACGCUGGCGGUAGGCCUAACACAUGCAAGUCGAACGGCAGCACAGAGGAGCUUGCUCCUUGGGUGGCGAGUGGCGGACGGGUGAGGAAUACAUCGGAAUCUACUCUGUCGUGGGGGAUAACGUAGGGAAACUUACGCUAAUACCGCAUACGACCUACGGGUGAAAGCAGGGGACCUUCGGGCCUUGCGCGAUUGAGUGAGCCGAUGUCGGAUUAGCUAGUUGGCGGGGUAAAGGCCCACCAAGGCGACGAUCCGUAGCUGGUCUGAGAGGAUGAUCAGCCACACUGGAACUGAGACACGGUCCAGACUCCUACGGGAGGCAGCAGUGGGGAAUAUUGGACAAUGGGCGCAAGCCUGAUCCAGCCAUACCGCGUGGGUGAAGAAGACCUUCGGGUUGUAAAGCCCUUUUGUUGGGAAAGAAAUCCAGCUGGCUAAUACCCGGUUGGGAUGACGGUACCCAAAGAAUAAGCACCGGCUAACUUCGUGCCAGCAGCCGCGGUAA